rnacentral:rRNA from 1 species
AAAUUAUUUUAAAUAAAAUUAAAAAAUUUAUAAACUAAAUAAAAAUUAAGAUUAUAUAAAUAAUUAAAAUUAAUAAAAUAGUAUAUUUAAAUAUAAAUAAGUUAAUAAAAUAAUUACAUGAAUAAACUGUAAAGAUGUUUAAAAUAAUUAAAAAAAGUUUUUAAGAGAUCUUGUGUUUCAGAAAUAAAUAAAAUAUUAAUUAAUAAAUUCUUUCUCGAAGUUAAAAGAUCUUUAAAUUUAUUAAGUAAUAUAUUACAUAAUAUUACAAUAUUAAUUUAAUGUAAUGAAAUAUUAUUCGAUUUUAAAUAUCUAGUUUUUUAAGAAAAAAAUUUAAUAUAGGAUUAAUAUGUAUAAAAUAUAAUUAAAUCUUAUUUUAUUUGGGAUAAGCUAAAUAAAAAAAUAAAAAUAAAAAUAGAUAUAAAUUUAUUAAUAAAUUUAUAGGAUUGAAAAUAUUCAAUUAUAAAAUAUUUAAUAAUUUAAAUUUAUGAAAAGAAAAAAAUCUUUUUAUCUUAUUAAAAUAAUAAUAAUAAUAAUUAUAAUUAUUAAAUAAUAUUAUAUAUUAGUAAAAUACUUUAUAAAAUUAUUAAUUUAUAAAAAUUAAGUAUAAUAAAUUCAGCAAUAUUUUAUUAACUGUUUAUCAAAAACAUUUCUUUAUGUGAAAUAUAAAGUAAAGUCUGCCCAGUGAUAUAAACGGCUGCAGUAUUUUGACUGUGCAAAGGUAGCAUAAUAAUUAGUUUAUUAAUUAUAAUCUUGAAUGAAUGGCUAUAUAAUAAAAUACUAUAUUAUAUUUAAUUAUUGAAUUUAGUUAUUAAUUGCAAAGAAUUAAUAAAAUUAAAAAGACGAUAAGACCCUAUAAAAUUUAAUUUUGAUAAAAUUUAAUUUAAGUAAAAAUAAAUUCUAAAAAAAUUUAAUUGGGACAAUUUAAGAAUAUUUAAAUAAUAUCUUAUAUAAACAAAAUUGAUUAUAAUAAUUAAACCUUAUAAAAGAAUAAUAAAAUUACUUUAGGGAUAACAGCGUUAUUGUUUUUUGGAGUUCUUAUCUAUAAAACAGAUUGCGACCUCGAUGUUGAAUUAAAUUAAAAGUUUACUGAAGUAGGAAAACUUUUAGAUCUGUUCGAUCUAUAAAUAUUUACUUGAUUUGAGUUCAAAUCGGCGUAAGCCAGAUUGGUUUCUAUCUUUUAAUUAUAUAAAAUAAUUUUUUAGUACGAAAGGACCAAAAAUUUUAGGAACCCUAU